UACAGAGGGUGCGAGCGUUAAUCGGAAUUACUGGGCGUAAAGCGCACGUAGGUGGCGACGUAAGUCGGGUGUGAAAGCCCCGGGCUCAACCUGGGAAUUGCAUUCGAGACUGCACUGCUGGAGUACGGAAGAGGAAGGCGGAAUUCCCGGUGUAGCGGUGAAAUGCGUAGAUAUCGGGAGGAACAUCAGUGGCGAAGGCGGCCUUCUGGUCCAGUACUGACACUCAAGUGCGAAAGCGUGGGGAGCAAACAGG
rnacentral:rRNA from 1 species